GCCUUUGUAGUGUAAUGGGUAGCACACUCGGCGCGUAAUUCAGAGGUCCAGCUUCGAAUCCCGGCGACGGCA
rnacentral:tRNA from 1 species